AUUGAACGCUGGCGGCAUGCCUAACACAUGCAAGUCGAACGGUAACGGGCCUUCGGGUGCCGACGAGUGGCGAACGGGUGAGUAAUGUAUCGGAACGUACCUUUCAGUGGGGGAUAACGUAGCGAAAGUUACGCUAAUACCGCAUAUUCUGUGAGCAGGAAAGCAGGGGAUCGCAAGACCUUGCGCUGAUUGAGCGGCCGAUAUCAGAUUAGCUAGUUGGUGAGGUAAAGGCUCACCAAGGCGACGAGCUGUAGCGGGUCUGAGAGGAUGAUCCGCCACACUGGAACUGAGACACGGUCCAGACUCCUACGGGAGGAAGCAGUGGGGAAUUUUGGACAAUGGGGGCAACCCUGAUCCAGCCAUGCCGCGUGAGUGAAGAAGGCCUUCGGGUUGUAAAGCUCUUCCGGCCGGGAAGAAAUCGUAUCAGCUAAUACCUGGUGCGGAUGACGGUACCGGCAUAAGAAGCACCGGCUAACUACGUGCCAGCCGCCGCCGUAAAAC
rnacentral:rRNA from 1 species